CGCAGCCGGACCCUCUCCGGGCAAUCCGGUAGGAUGCAACUGGAACCCCAUGGGCGGUGAACUCGACGCUCUUGGAAAGUGUCACAAUAUGCAAGAGGUGUGUUCACACGUGGAUAAAGAUCACGAACGUGUGCAAAUUAACUGGGAUGAUGGAUCGGCGAGAUUCGGCUGUGUGUGCGGGUCCGACCACCCCCCCGGCACUCCAAAUUUCGCAGUUGUUGGCUGUAACUGGAGGCCUCCAUUAGGCCGGCGCCUGCCUCCAAUUGAGAAGUAGGAAUUAAAGCAGCCCACCCCUAUCCAGCACGAACAGACGACGUGAGGCCGCCGACAUCAUCUGAAACUGAAGAAUAAGAAAAUUCUAAUUUUUGGAUUUCGGCUCAUGUCUGUAAUAUAUCGCUGCAUGAAUCAAUUUUA